AUUGAACGCUGGCGGCAGGCCUAACACAUGCAAGUCGAGCGGAUGAAGGGAGCUUGCUCCUGGAUUCAGCGGCGGACGGGUGAGUAAUGCCUAGGAAUCUGCCUGGUAGUGGGGGAUAACGUCCGGAAACGGGCGCUAAUACCGCAUACGUCCUGAGGGAGAAAGUGGGGGAUCUUCGGACCUCACGCUAUCAGAUGAGCCUAGGUCGGAUUAGCUAGUUGGUGAGGUAAAGGCCUACCAAGGCGACGAUCCGUAACUGGUCUGAGAGGAUGAUCAGUCACACUGGAACUGAGACACGGACCAGACUCCUACGGGAGGCAGCAGUGGGGAAUAUUGGACAAUGGGCGAAAGCCUGAUCCAGCCAUGCCGCGUGUGUGAAGAAGGUCUUCGGAUUGUAAAGCACUUUAAGUUGGGAGGAAGGGCAGUAAGUUAAUACCUUGCUGUUUUGACGUUACCAACAGAAUAAGCACCGGCUAACUUCGUG
rnacentral:rRNA from 1 species